rnacentral:rRNA from 1 species
GAUGAACGCUAGCGACAGGCCUAACACAUGCAAGUCGAGGGGCAGCAUGAAAUUAGCUUGCUAAUUUUGAUGGCGACCGGCGCACGGGUGAGUAACACGUAUGCAACCUGCCUGUAAGCGGGGGAUAACCCGGAGAAAUCCGGACUAAUACCGCAUAGUAUCACAAUUUCGCAUGUUAUUGUGAUUAAAGAUUAAUUGCUUACAGAUGGGCAUGCGUCUGAUUAGCUAGUUGGCGGGGUAACGGCCCACCAUGGCGACGAUCAGUAGCCGGUCUGAGAGGAUGAACGGCCACAUUGGGACUGAGAUACGGCCCAGACUCCUACGGGAGGCAGCAGUGGGGAAUAUUGGGCAAUGGGGGAAACCCUGACCCAGCAACGCCGCGUGAAGG